GACGAACGCUGGCGGCGUGCUUAACACAUGCAAGUCGAACGGAAAGGCCCUUCGGGGUACUCGAGUGGCGAACGGGUGAGUAACACGUGGGUGAUCUGCCCUGCACUUUGGGAUAAGCCUGGGAAACUGGGUCUAAUACCGAAUAGGACCACGCGCUUCACGGUGUGUGGUGGAAAGCUUUUGCGGCGUGGGAUGGGCCCGCGGCCGAUCAGCUUGUUGGUGGGGUCAUGGCCUAACAAGGCGACGACGGGUAGCCGGCCGGAGAGGGUGACCGGCCACACUGGGACUGGGAUACGGCCCAGACUCCUACGGGAGGCAGCAGUGGGGAAUAUUGCACAAUGGGCGCAAGCCUGAUGCAGCGACGCCGCGUGAGGGAUGACGGCCUUCGGGUUGUAAACCUCUUUCAAUAGGGACGAAGCGCAAGUGACGGUACCUAUAGAAGAAGCACCGGCCAACUACGUG
rnacentral:rRNA from 1 species